UCAAGUAAAUAAGCGCAUACGGUGGAUGCCUUGGCAGCUAGAGGCGAUGAAGGACGUAGUAACUUGCGAUAAGCUUCGGGGAGCCGGUAAACAGGCUUUGAUCCGAAGAUUUCCGAAUGGGAAAACCCACCUAGGAUAACCUAGGUAUCUUUAUCUGAAUUCAUAGGAUAUAGAGGCAAACGCGGAGAACUGAAACAUCUUAGUAACCGCAGGAAAAGAAAUCAAUUGAGAUUCUGUUAGUAGCGGCGAGCGAAAGCGGAACAGCCCUUAAGCUUUUAUUUGGUUAGAAGAAUGGUCUGGAAAGGCCGGCCGUAGAAGGUGAUAGCCCUGUAUACGAAAACUAAAUAUAAGUGAAAUCGAGUAGGUCGGGACACGAGAAAUCUUGACUGAAUAUGGGGGGACCAUCCUCCAAGGCUAAAUACUCCUAGCUGACCGAUAGUGAACCAGUACCGUGAGGGAAAGGCGAAAAGUACCCCGGAGAGGGGAGUGAAAUAGAACCUGAAACCGUUUGCGUACAAGCUGUCGGAGCUUUUUUUACCUUCGGGUAAAACGAGUGACGGCGUACCUUUUGUAUAAUGGGUCAGCGAGUUAUUUUCUGUGGCAAGCUUAACUUUAUGAGGAAGGCGCAGGGAAACCGAGUCUUAAUAGGGCGAUUUAGUCUCAGGUAAUAGACGCGAAACCGGACGAUCUAUCCAUGGCCAGGGUGAAGGUGAGGUAACACUUACUGGAGGCCCGAACCCACCUAUGUUGAAAAAUGGGGGGAUGAGCUGUGGAUCGGAGUGAAAGGCUAAUCAAGUUCGGAGAUAUCUCGUUCUCCCCGAAAUCUAUUUAGGUAGAGCCUCUUGUAUUACUGUUGGGGGUAGAGCACUGUUUCGGCUAGGGGGUCAUCCCGACUUACCAAACCGAUGCAAACUCCGAAUACCAACAAGUACAGCAAGGGAGACAGACUGCGGGUGCUAACGUCCGUAGUCGAGAGGGAAACAACCCAGACCGCCAGCUAAGGUCCCAAAUUGUGAUUAAGUGGGAAACGGUGUCGGAAGGCUUAAACAGCUAGGAGGUUGGCUUAGAAGCAGCCAUCCUUUAAAGAAAGCGUAACAGCUCACUAGUCGAGUCGGCCUGCGCGGAAAAUUUAACGGGGCUAAAUCACAAACCGAAGCUGCGGAUAAUUUACCGGUUACGGCCGGUUUAUUAUGGUAGGGGAGCAUUCUGUAAGCCGUUGAAGGCAGAUUGUGAGAUCUGCUGGAGGUAUCAGAAGUGAGAAUGCUGACAUGAGUAACGAUAAGAGAGGUGAAAAACCUCUCCGCCGAAAACCCAAGGUUUCCUGUCCAACGUUAAUCGGGACAGGGUAAGUCGACCCCUAAGGCGAGGGCGAAAGCCGUAGUCGAUGGGAAAUAGGUUAAUAUUCCUAUACUUCUUGUUACUGCGAUGGAGUGACGGAGAAGGCUAGGCCAGCAAGGCGAUGGUUGUCCUUGUUUAAGGUUGUAGGCUGGAAUUCUAGGUAAAUCCGGAAUUCUAAGGCUGAGAACUGAUGACGAAUAUUUCUUUUAGAAAUACCAAGUGGUUGAUGCCAUGCUUCCAGGAAAAACUUCUAAGCUUCAGGUAGCAAGGAAUCGUACCGUAAACCGACACAGGUGGGUGGGUAGAGAAUACCAAGGCGCUUGAGAGAACUCUGGUGAAGGAACUAGGCAAAAUGGUACCGUAACUUCGGGAGAAGGUACGCCCUCAUUACGUGAAGAGACUUGCUCUCGGAGCGGAAGGGGGUCGAAGAUACCAGGUGGCUGCGACUGUUUACUAAAAACACAGCACUCUGCUAACACGAAAGUGGACGUAUAGGGUGUGACGCCUGCCCGGUGCCGGAAGGUUAAUUGACUGGGUUAGCCCUUGUGGCGACGCCCAUGAUCGAAGCCCCGGUGAACGGCGGCCGUAACUAUAACGGUCCUAAGGUAGCGACAUUCCUUAUCGGGUAAGUUCCGACCUGCACGAAUGGCGUAACGAUGGCCACGCUGUCUCCACCAGAGACCCAGUGA
rnacentral:rRNA from 1 species